GAGUCUAAUUGCUCAAACCGAAAGCACACUGCUGCAAAGAUGCGCUUCUGAGGAAAGAAUCCUCAUUUUUUUCAUCUGUCAGUUACCACUGCCCUCAGCCUUAGAGCAUCGCGGCUCCUUGGGUAGCAGCUGCCUCCAUCUGUUUCCUUCAUUCACUACCUAGCAAAGGGCUAACAGGCUUCCAGAUGAGAUGGUUAUCCACAGAGAGGGAGGUGCAUGACAGCUACCCCAUGAGGCAUCACACAUACCAGCCUUUAGAGCCUUUGGUGAAGAUCCUCAUCUCAUCACAGGAAAACACCAUGAAAGACCAUGGAGACUUCUGGUGUGAAACACGGGUGGACAAGCCAUGACAUCACGGGGAAGGAGGCUACUGGUGACCGACCUUCAGGACUUGGACCAUCUUUUGGAAAGUCACAGGACCUGCUCACUACACUGGCAGGCACCUCUGAGGCUAAUGAUGAGAAUAUGGUGCAAGAGCAUACCAAGCCAACGGCCCACGGGGAGGAUACCUGAGCAGCUGAUUGUCCCCUACAUCAAGAGAACAGGUCUAUACUUUUCAUAGUACCCGCUUGGGCACGGUGACUGCGUUUUUCAGAAGAAAGCAUCUGCGGCUGAGAAAACACCAGCACCUGGCAUGAUAGAAUGUUGUGGAAAAACCAUCAAAUGUAAAAAAUAAAAUAAAUGUCUCAUGGUUAAUAGCCGAGAUAUCUUGAAGAAAUUAUGGUUAUUUUAUGCUUUCUUUUUA
rnacentral:sRNA from 1 species